GAUGAACGCUGGCGGCGUGCCUAAUACAUGCAAGUCGAACGCUGGAGCUCUAGCUUGCUAGAUCGAAGGAGUGGCGAACGGGUGAGUAAUACAUAAGCAACCUACCCACGAAGACUGGGAUAAUCUCUGGAAACGGGGACUAAUACCGGAUAGGUAAUCGGAAGGCCUCUUCUGGUUAUUAAAGGUUAAAAACACUGGUGGAUGGGCUUAUGGCGCAUUAGUUAGUUGGUGAGGUAACGGCCCACCAAGACGAUGAUGCGUAGCCGGCCUGAGCGGGUGAACGGCCACAUUGGGACUGAGACACGGCCCAGACUCCUACGGGAGGCAGCAGUAGGGAAUUUUCGGCAAUGGGGGCAACCCUGACCGAGCAACGCCACGUGAGUGAAGACGGCCUUCGGGGUGUAAAGCUCUGUUGUAAGGGAAGAACGGUAGAUAGAGAAUAUCUAAGUGACGGUACCUUACCAGAAAGCCACGGCUAACUACGUG
rnacentral:rRNA from 1 species